rnacentral:sRNA from 1 species
UUAAGAUAAGAAGUAAUCUGGAAUCAGAAAGCACUACGCUAAGAAUCCCGUUCUGCUUCCAGAAGUGGAAGUGCUCACGGAUCGGGGAAAUCUGCAAGGCAUACCCCUGCAAGGUCUCGCUCCAAGGAAGAUUCCAGGCGUUCCAGAUCAAAGUCCAGGUCCCGAUCUGAAUCUAGGUCUAGAUCCAGAAGAAGCUCCCGAAGGCAUUAUACCCGGUCACGGUCUCGUUCCCGCUCCCAUAGACGAUCACGUAGCAGGUCUUACAGUCGAGAUUAUCGUAGACGGCACAGCCACAGCCAUUCUCCCAUGUCUACUCGCAGGCGUCAUGUUGGGAAUCGGGUAAGAUGAAAAACUGGUUUUGAAGCAGUGAACUGCCUAAAUUUACUUUUUCUUAAAGUUAGAGCUGAUUUCGACAAUAGAGCUUUAGCAGUGGGUGCGUGAGUGAAAUCUUCAGAGGCUUUUUUAGUGUUUUGAGAGAGUCUUUUAAGUUAAUCUUCCAUGACGGGGUCUGCAUUUGGGCUGCCUGUCAA